CCGGUAAACGGCGGCCGUAACUAUAACGGUCCUAAGGUAGCGAAAUUCCUUGUCGGGUAAGUUCCGACCUGCACGAAUGGCGUAAUGAUGGCCACGCUGUCUCCACCCGAGACUCAGUGAAAUUGAAAUUGCGGUGAAGAUGCCGUAUACCCGCGGCUAGACGGAAAGACCCCGUGAACCUUUACUACAGCUUGGCACUGAACAUUGACCCUACAUGUGUAGGAUAGGUGGGAGGCUUUGAAGCAUUGUCGCUAG
rnacentral:rRNA from 1 species